rnacentral:rRNA from 1 species
UACGUAGGGCGCAAGCGUUGUCCGGAAUUAUUGGGCGUAAAGAGCUCGUAGGCGGCCUGUUACGUCUGCUGUGAAAUCCCGGGGCUUAACCCCGGGCGUGCAGUGGAUACGGGCAGGCUGGAGGCAGGCAGGGGAGAACGGAAUUCCCGGUGUAGCGGUGAAAUGCGUAGAUAUCAGGAGGAACACCGGUGGCGAAGGCGGCUUUCUGGACAGUAACUGACACUGAGGCGCGAAAGCUAGGGGAGCAAACAGG